CUACGGGGCGCACCAGUGGGGAAUCUUAGACAAUGGGGGAAACCCUGAUCUAGCCAUGCCGCGUGAGCGACGACGGCCCUAGGGUUGUAAAGCUCUUUCAGCAGGGAAGAUAAUGACGGUACCUGCAGAAGAAGUCCCGGCUAACUCCGUGCCAGCAGCCGCGGUAAUACGGAGGGGACUAGCGUUGUUCGGAAUUACUGGGCGUAAAGCGCGCGUAGGCGGAUUGUUAAGUCGGGGGUGAAAUCCCGGGGCUCAACCCCGGAACUGCCCGCGAUACUGGCAGUCUUGAGUUCGAGAGAGGUGAGUGGAAUUCCGAGUGUAGAGGUGAAAUUCGUAGAUAUUCGGAGGAACACCAGUGGCGAAGGCGGCUCACUGGCUCGAUACUGACGCUGAGGUGCGAAAGCGUGGGGAGCAAACAGGAUUAGAUACCCGCGUAGUC
rnacentral:rRNA from 1 species